AUUGAACGCUGGCGGCAUGCUUUACACAUGCAAGUCGAACGGUAACAGGCCGCAAGGUGCUGACGAGUGGCGAACGGGUGAGUAAUGCAUCGGAACGUGCCCAGUCGUGGGGGAUAACGCAGCGAAAGCUGUGCUAAUACCGCAUACGAUCUAUGGAUGAAAGCGGGGGACCGUAUGGCCUCGCGCGAUUGGAGCGGCCGAUGUCAGAUUAGGUAGUUGGUGGGGUAAAGGCCCACCAAGCCAACGAUCUGUAGCUGGUCUGAGAGGACGACCAGCCACACUGGGACUGAGACACGGCCCAGACUCCUACGGGAGGCAGCAGUGGGGAAUUUUGGACAAUGGGCGCAAGCCUGAUCCAGCAAUGCCGCGUGCAGGAAGAAGGCCUUCGGGUUGUAAACUGCUUUUGUACGGGACGAAACGGUCUGGGUUAAUACCUCGGGCUAAUGACGGUACCGUAAGAAUAAGCACCGGCUAACUACGUGCCAGCCGCCGCCCGUAAAAC
rnacentral:rRNA from 1 species